UUGGAUAGAAGGGUUCAUACAGAUAGAAAAUACAUAGGGUCAUAAUUCAUAACAAAAUAAAAAGAGUAAAGUAAUUAAAUACAAUAGUACAUAUUAUUAAAAAGCUACUAUUAGUAAGCACCCUCUCCGUUUACUUUGGCGGAAUAGCUUGAAAGGUCGUUGUAUUUAUAUUCAUUUGUCAGCUAGACCCUCCUUACAUAUGCUUGUCCCUUUAUCAACUGAACGCUUCAACAAAUAUAAGUAUAUAAAUAAAUUUGUCAAGUUAUUUCAGCUUUUAUUUUACUUGAUCUUUAUUUAUAAUUUCUAAUCUAUAAUUUAUAUCUAUAAUAUAUUAAAAGUGUAAAGACUAAUUCAAACUUUUUAUCCUUCAUUAAAAGUCUCCUCAAUAGACAAAAUCGUCAUUUCAUUAUUUUUCCUCAAAUUAUUUUUAAUUUUAUUAGGUUAAUUAAUUUAAUUUAUGAGUCCUUUUAAAUGUAGGAUUUAUUAGGAAUAGAAUUAGUUUAGAUAUAAAAUUUAUGUAAUAUUCUUCAAUUUAGGUAAAUCUAUUUUCCUUUUCUAUUUUAACAAGGAUGUGGUAAAGACGUAUUAGAUUUUUCUUCUUUUUUUNNNNNNNNNNNNNNNNNNNNNNNNNNNNNNNNNNNNNNNNUAAUUAGUUAGUUUUUUUUUGGGGGAGGGGGGGAGGGGGGCUGGGGUUUCUUUUACUUACUUUAUAACAUUAAUUCCUUCCGUAAUUAGUUGAAUUUUUUUUCUUUGUUUUGUUUAUUAUAGGUUCUUUUACUUAUUUUAUUAUUUGCUUUUAUAUUUUAAUAUGAAUGUAUUUUUUUAUUUUAGCAAUCGACUUCCAAUUAUGGUAUUCUAUUUUGGAAUGAAUUCUAUAUAUGAUGCAAUUUAUAUAUGUCCUUUUUCAUAAAUUUUUGCAAUAUAUUGUUUAAAUUUUGUUUGUAUUUAUUUUUGGUUCUUAAUGUAUGUACUUUGCAUACAAAUUUGUAAUUUAAUUAUAUUGUAAAGAUUAUGUUUAAUCGUAUUGUUCUGAUAAUACGAUCAUAUUAUAUGUUUUCUUAUGUUGUCAUCUGAUGCUUUUUUUUUUUAUGUUUAAUACAGGUGGUAGAUAGAAUAUUUGGUUGGGCUUUGGCAAAAUUUUAAUGUAAAGGCAAAGUUUAAUCGUGUGAAUAUUAUAAUUCAAAAAAUACCUCCUAAUUGAGUCAUUGUAUAAAAAUAAUGGCAAAAAAAGGUUGAUUGUAUGUUAGUGUAUAUCCUUAAUGAAUUCAACAAAUUGAUGCGACGGUUUGAUGGAUAACUUGUGUCUAUUAUAGGUUCGGCUAACACUCUGUCUUUAUAUACCGUUGAUGAAUUCAACCAUUUAACAUUUCUUAUUUGAAUUGAGUUAUAGUGUUAUAUGAAUUUGACCAAUUUUUAGUUUCUCACGUUUUUUUUUUACUUGUGCAUAUUUUCGUGCAUUCAAAAAUAAUUCCAUCCACUUUGGUUUAAGAAUAUUUUUUUGUUGUCAUUUUGUUCAUUUAUUGUUUUGAAAGUAUAAUUAUAUAUAUGCAACAAUCAAAGUAGCUAAUUUAUCCUCUCUCUAUAUAUAAUUGACUAACGUGAUAUACACGUGCGGAACCCGUACACUUGACUAGUAUAUAUAUAUGUGUGUUACUUAUCAAUUUUAGCAAAUCAAGAUAGUUUAUUAUUUAUUUAUUUUAAUAUUUUUAGUAUUAAAUAACUAUAUAAAGUAGUAAUUGUUGUAUUUAGAGCUGCAAAGUAUCAUUAAUAAGAUUAAUUUGAUAAAAAUAUAUUCCUAAUACUGCCUCCAUUCAUAAUUAUUUAUCACUUAUUUUAAUUAUAUUUUCACUUUUACUUAUUAUUUUUGACAUAUCAGGAAAAAAUUAUUUUUUUUAUUUGAUUUUAAUAUUAAUUAUUUAUUCUCUAAAUUAUUUUUAAAAUAAAAUAAUAUCCAUCAAUUAAUAUAAAUACUGUGGUAGAAAAUAAUUACUUUUAUAAAUAUAUCAAAUUAAAAUAUGACAAAAUAAAAAUAAAUGAAGAAAAUAAAAAUUUUCUUAAAUAAUGAUUCAGGUCAUUGGGGUCAAGCACUAUAAAGCAUAGGGGUAUUAAACCUAGUACUCAAGUCAUUGCUUCUUUGUAGUCGUUUGACCAUAAGAGGUUUUUACUUUUUUUUUGGAAAAAUUAUUUCACUUUAAUGAAAAUAGUAAAAAUUGUAAGUGUUUGUCCAUGAGAAUCUCAAAUAUAAUUGUGAAAUUGUACUUGAAAAAGUGAAAAUAAGUUUUACUUGUUUUUAUUUUUUUCACUCAUACUUCUCUCAUAAAAUUUUAAAAAUAACCUUAAUUUAUAUUAAUGCGAGACAUAACUUCAAAUUCAAUUUUAACUCCAACUCAACAAAUUAUAAUUGAAUUCAUGGCCAAACGGGGCCUUAUUUAAGACGAUUCCUUUUGCUAACGACAAAGAUAACAAUCUCAAGUUCCUUCCCUAGAAAGUCACAAGACAAGAUUUGGAGCAAAAAGUCAAAUCCAAAAAAAAAAGUACGUACACAUCAUAAUUAUUGAGGAAUGAGAGGGAUGGAUUGAAUUUCUUUUAUAAUUUUCUUUAGUAGGGAAUAUUUUAACUAGCUAUGUGUGCCUAUAUAUAUUUAUAUCCAAUGCAAACGCAAAUUUGUAGGAUUAAGUAGGCGUUAUGGACAUAUAAUUUUAUUUGAGAAAUUUAAAAUUAUUAGAUGAAAUCAGUGUUGGGUAUGUAAUUUUAUAUUAUGAGAUAAAAACUUAAAUUUUUUAAAAAAUUUAAUUUGAAAUAUCACAUCAUAAUUUGAGAUUUUUUACAAUAAAAAAAUUGAUCCAUGGGUUUAUAUUUUAUAAGAGAAAAACCCAUCACUUAUAUCUACCAAUCAUUUAUUUUAUCUGUAAAUAAACUUUAUAGUUCAUAUUAUUACUUUUUAUACUAUUUGUAUCUCAUAUAACCAUUACACUCACUAACAUAUAAAAUUUAUUAUUAUUUCAACCCAACUCCUACAUUAUCAUUAUUAUUCAUUAAAUUCAUUAUUAUUGACCAACAAACAGUUUAAAGUAACAAAGUUAGUUUAUUUUUUUGAUUAUUCGAUCGAGAAGUGCAAGCUCAAUAUAAAGAGAUUGUUUGUAUUAUGUGAGAAGAUAAUGGUAAAGAGUAAUAUACUACAAUUCAUAUUCCGUUUUACCUUUUUUUCAUUGAAUUAACUUGUGUGAUUAGUAAAUAUUGUAUUUUUAGAAUAUUUUUUGUAGGGUAUCAUACAUACUUUCGUCAUAAAUUUUUGCUUAUUUGACAAAAUUGUAUAUAGAAUUGGGGCCAAUUUUAAUAAUUUUAACCACUUAAGGGAAUUUCAUGUUUAUAAAAAAAUAUACAAUAUCAAAAAUUUAAAUUAUGUGUCUAAAUAAAACUUUAACUUCAUCUCAUGAUUUCAAAUCGUGAAUUCAUCUAGUACAAUCAAACGAGCCCCAAGUGAAUUUUAAAAGCUGGAUAAUUAUUAAAUUAACAAAAACGCCACUAAAUUAAUGGACGCCAGGAGUACUGAUUAUUCACUAGUGAAGAACAACGAAUUAAUAAUGUCAAAAUGCAUACCCUAGAAAGUCAACAUGAUCAUGUUACAUACUUCCUAAGUAAAUAAUUAUUUGUCUCAAAUUGAGAUGACACAUUAAUUAAGAAAAAUAAUUAAUAACAUGCCUAGUUUACCGUUGUACCCCUAUUAAAUGAUGUUUUACAUUUUAAUUUGAAAAAAAAAGUAAUUAAUGCAAAGGUUAAACAUGAAAAAAAAUUAUUUCUUCUUGAUUAAUGAAAAAAGACAAGUAAAAUGAAAAAUUAAAUUAAAAAAUUUAGACGAAGGGAGUAUAAAUUUUCUAAAAAAUAAAAAAAUGGGGCAGGAAAUUAUAAAAUAAAAAAUCAAAUUCGCACCAACAAAAUAAAAAUUCAAAUAAUCAACUAAUUAAGCUACUAAAAUCUUCCACCAUUAUCAUAUGACCCUGUUUUUUGGGUCAAAAAUUGUUUGGUGUUAAAGUACAAAUUUGGAAACCAAUUUAAGAACUAAUUUGUGAAAUUUUCGGCACUUAACUAACUGAUGAUUUGACAUUUUAGUUCACGAGGUCCCACGAGGAUUUGAUUAAUCUCAACACGAAAAAUAUAUUUUAUCCAAUCACUAUAUAUAUAUAUAUAUAUAUAUAUAUAUAUGAGGGAUAGAACCAGGGUUGAGGGGCCUUAUUCAAAUUUCAAACAUCUUUCAACUGAAAAUUAUGCUAUGUUUAUACAACUUUAAGUUAAAUUUAAUUUUUUACUAUCUAAUUUUCAAAUAAAAUGAAAAAUUAUUUGAAGAAAAAGUGCAUACGAGUACUAAUUUUAUAGCCGAAUACUGUUCUUUUAAGUACCACUAGUUAUACUGCACAAUUACAAAAUAUAAAUCUCUUAAAAAGCUCAAUGACAUUCUUAUCUCAUAUAGUGUCAAUGUGUGAGUCCGAAGCUUCAAGGAUAAUUUUUUUCAUCAAAAAUUUCAAGAAGACAAUUAAAAUUUGAAACAAACUAAAAGGGCAAAAGCUUGGGACAACCCACGUCUUAGUGCAUCCUUAUGUCAUUUGCGAGCUUUUUUUUUAAAUUAUUUUUCUUUAUCAAGGCGUGGGUUAUCCCAUGGUUUUGUCCAUUUGAUUUUUUUUCAAAUUUUAACUGUCCCUUCAAAAUUUUUGGUGGAAAAAAGUUAUUCUUUCGACUCCGGAUUCGUCAUGUGUGAUGUAACAUUCGAUAGAUGUCCACAUCAAAAUUGUCAUAAAGCUGUUAUUUUACGAAGUCAUUUCAUAGUGGAGGAAAUUCUCCAACUUUCCUACUUCAUCAAGUACGUUGUCAAACACCUCUUUAUUUUAGUUAACAUAUUAGGUACCAAUAAUUGCUUAUAUAGGCCAUAUAAAUAUUCAGUAAAAAGAAUUCACGAAGUGUUCAUACAGCUGCAAAUACAUAGCCAAAGUUAUUUAAAAAUAUUUUUUUUUUUCUAAAAUAGGUCAUAAGUUCAUAUGAUUUGGAGCAAACACAUUAUCAAGGAGUGUGGUGGGAUGAUUGAAUUUCUUUUAUAAACAAUAUUUAAUGAAUCAAUUUUGUCUUAGGAAAUAGUCAUUAUAUAGAAUUUUAAAUUUUGCAUGUGAAAUUUUAAAAUAUUAUAAGGAAACUUGAAAAUUUUAUAUGAAAUUUCACCUGUAGAAUUUUUAGAAUUUAAUGUUAGCGACUAUUUUCUAAUUACGGUUAUUAAGAAGUCCCUAUUUGUAAUUUUCCGCCAUAUUCCAUCAAACAUAUAUAUAUAUAAAUAUGUCUGUUUUUUUUUUCUAUAUUAAAGUCCUGGGGGAUUGCUUUAAAGUGUUCAAUGAGAAGUCGAUUAAUCGAAAAAUUUAAAAAAUCGACCGAAAUGUUUUUUUAUGCGAUGUAAUAGUUGAAGAAAAGUGACCAUUUUAUAACAAAUUAUAAAAUAAUAAUUUUACUAUAUAAUUUACCAUUAUUGAGUGGAUAUUUGAAACAAUCAACUUCUUUUAGUUUCAUAGGAAUUUAUUUCCAUUAUCUUAUGCCAUAGUUAUUCCACCACUUGAAGAUGUGUUUCAUAUCUUGAAGAUAACAUAAUUAAUUAACAAAUCAUCAGUAUCAUCGCCAUCAUAUUAAAAUAUGUAAAUCAUUUAAAAUCAAAUAUAUAUUGGAAGGAUCUUCCCAAUUUUAUUGGUCACACCUCAUUGUCAAUGUCAAUUAAGGUUUAUAGAUUAAUUUACAAUUUUUGACAAUCUUAUUCCAAAAUGACCUAAUUAUAUGAUCUCGUACUUUUCAGUUCUAAAGUAUUCGAUUAAAGAACUUUGCAGUCUGCAGAAGAGAUUGAAAAACAUUUAUUUAUUUAUUUGUAAAAACUGUUUUUCAACCAAACACAAAGUUAGUUUAAAAUUUUUAUAUCUUGGUGUUUAAUUGGUUGAAAUAUAGUUCUUGCAAGUAAAAAUUGUUGCAAGGCAUUUCAAGUAAAUGAAAAUUUGGUUAACAAGUCCAAACUUUCUAUUUAUUUCAUGAUCAAUUAAUAACACGCGAGAAAUUUUACGAAUCACGCAUUAAUACUUUUUACUUUGUAUUAAAAUCCUAAUUCUCAUAAAACUUUGAGGAAAAAGAGAGAGAGGAAAAAACCAUUCUUCUUUGUUUACAAUACAAAUUAUAAGUCUUCACUGGAAAAUAUUGCUCAAAGGGAUUAUCAUCAUCAUUCAAAAAAAAAAAGGGGACGAGGUGUUGUUUCUCCUAUCAUUUGGUAUUUGGUUAGAAUUAUGCGGGUAUUAGUAAUAUAUAAAUUAGUUAUGAAUGAAUUUAUAUACUAUUAUUUUAAUAAGGGUUCGAAUAUUCACGUAUAAGUUAUACCUGUAGAUGUUAUUUCACCUUUGAUCCUAUAAAGUAAUACAAAAAUUUUCUCAUAACUUAUUCUAUUAUGUAGGUUUCUAAGUUACUAAUCAAAUAUCAUAUUUAAUUAAUACAUGAAUAACUUAUAUGAUCCUAACGAGUUAUCAAAUGUAUGAUAUUAUUUAUGUAACAUUUAAUAUUUGUAUAACUCACCUCCAAAUCAGCUAUCAAAAAGAAUAAUUUACUCAAAAUAGCAAUUCAAAACUAUAAUUUCCUAUUACAACUAAUUAUUUUUCACAUGUUAGCUAUUUUUAUAAUAAAAACUAAUUAGUUGAUUUUCACAUGUACUCAACUUUAAUUUGAUUAAUAAUUGAUUAAAAAAAAAUUAAUUAGUUGAAGCAAUGAUCUUAUGAGCUGUAGUCCAUGGAUACUUCUUUGUUUGUACUGUUGUAUCAAAAAUACCCUUUUUCUUAUUUUUCGUAGAGGACAAUAUGCAUUUCGAACUUCUAUAAAUUAUUUAUUUGUCUUGUGCUUGUUUCAGUAUCUGUACGAUCUAGAUGUCCAAUGGACCCCCUCCCCCAUUCCUACUCAAUUAUUCAAAUUUUACCAAUUUGCAUUAUGAUAGUAGUUGUAUAGUUGAAAUUUUCUAUUGUAGAUGUAUUUUCGAUUCUUUACUCUCUUUUCUUUAAUUCCUAACGUAAUAAAAUAAUUCUAUAAAAGACCAUGUGGAUUUUAAUGUUUUACAUGACUUUAUUUCCUAAUGUAUACCCCCCUUCCACCCCCUCUACUUUUUAAAGUUACUAGAUGAGUUUUGGUUGUACUUAGUACGGGCCCAACAUGAUAACUUAGUUUCAAUAAAUUUUUCUCAAUAAUUUAUUGUGAAAGAAACAACAUUUUUCUAAUCGAACACCGUGCUCCAAAUUUAAAGUAUUAGGUAUAAAACUUUAUAGCUUAAUUGAAACUGAGAUAAAUAAAAAUGAAGCAUAACUACAGCUGAAGUACAUUAGACACACACUUUCAUUUUGAAGAGCCUUUUAUGAAAUAUUUUUUAUUCUCAGAGUAUACAUGUUCAUUCUAUAUAGGUUUACAAUUUUUUGACUUGUGAAGGAAGUGGAGCAACUGGAUAAAAAAUGGGAAAAGGACAUUGUUGUAUUGCAAGGUCGGACCUAAGCUGAUUGUCUUUUUUGUAAACUUGCAUAAUAUAAAUUUGACCUUUCAUCCAAUAACAUCUUAGCUUUUAGCACAAGUGAAUUCAAUGAUAAAGAAAAAGCGACUUAAUUAUUGAACAUUUGCUUCAACAACAGUAAGUAUGUCUAUAAAAAAGGGUGCUUUUCAUGUUGUACAUACUAUGAGGCAACAAUGAAAUCAAAAUCAAAAUGGAAAAGCUUCAACAAUAAUAUUUACAAUAAAUAAUAAUAGAAGGGAGAGUCGAUUAACUUUUCACAGUGCUUUCUAAAUUAGCUUAAGUUAAUGAAAAAGUACAAACACAAUAAAUUAUUAAAUCUUUAUUUUAGUAGGUUCAAUAAUUAAUAUCAGUUCAAGCUGCAUUGUGACCACAUUACAAUCAUUCCAUUGUGUAAUCGUACUUAUGAAAAACUACAGAAUCUCAGAAUAAGAAUAUUUAAGUUUCAUUUGAAAUGAAGGGAUAAUCUGAAACACUUAUGGUCCUUUGUUAUUUGUAUUAUCAUUUAUCAAUGUAGUGCCAAUAUGUUAGUUUGUGUAAUUAUACUUAAUUAUUAUUGAAAAUAUAACAACACUACCAAUUUUGUCAAAUCUGUAAUUUGAUAACUAAAGAAAAGGAAUGAUUACAAUUAUAUAGAUUAGAUCAAAGAAAAAUAAAUUAACCGAUAAAGCUAUUAUAUCUGAGUAUUGAAAAACAUAAUUGUUCAAUUUUGCAGACAUAGAUUAAAAUAUAUCAAGAGAGGAUAUAACACAAAUGAUCUUCUGAAAAGGUGCAAAGGUAUGUUGAUAAUGAAUUCAUUUACAUUAUAAUGAAUUUAUAUUUUUUGUUAUACAUCUUUUCAGAGGUUAGUGUCAUAAGCUAUGAUAGUCUAGGGAUGAUGUAUAUUUUAGAUUUUAGAGCUGUAAAAUAAUAGAUUUUUUUAAAGUUAAACCUCAACCUUUCUCUAUAAAUUUUCAUUAAAAUGAAUAAAGGACUAUCAAGUCAUGAGAAAUAAGAAAAGAUACAUAUUUAGUGCCAUCAAUUCAAGUGUGAAUAAAAGCUCGCCGCUUUCAUAAAACUUUCGAUACAUUUCACUUAUAAAAUUGUUAUGUAGCCAUAUAAAUUCAAGGUAUGAUGAAGUAGUACAACACCACAAAAAUAACGCUGGACAGUUAACAUAGUUAUCUAUCAAGAAAAAGUAUAAGGUGAGCAAAAAACUAAGUCACAAGAAGUAUUGAAACUGUUAAUUAUCAAAUGUGAACAAGCGAAUUGUAAAUACAUAUGUUACCUAUGGGAGAUUUACAAGAGAGACAAUAUUUAUUUUCAAGAAUCCAGCUUUAACAAUUUUCUUGAGGAAAUGUACACCAAUAGCAGAUAACGCUACAAAGAUUAAUGAGAGACAAAGCUUAUAUUAUGUUCCAUCCCAUUUAACCUGCACAACACGAAAAUUAAAUGCAUCAAUGAUUGCCUAUUUAAGGUACUACAAUGUUAACAAUAUAUAACAGACCAAGACACAAUAAAAGAAAGCACACCUAUCAGUAACUCAUACCUCCAAGAAAAUAAUUAAUAAUAAGCUAAACAUAUAUUCUGAAUUAAAUUGAUUACUGGUGUCAAAUAAACACUAAGAAAAGAUAUAAACAUUUUUUUUCUAUGUAUUCAAUUCAGCUCAGUCAGUUACAGUAAUAAAGAUAAAGUUUAUAAAAUAUAAAAAUAAGAACGAUGUUUAGGAAAAUUUAUAGAAUUAAUGUACUACUUGGAUUGCUAAAUCAAAAAUUGCCCUUUCUAUUUUGCCCUUUCUCAAACAUACUUGAAUAUAAACUCAGAAAAAAUAGGAAGAACUUUAAAAAGGGAUCACAAAUAUUAAGAUAUUGACAAUAUCAUUCAACUUUAUAUUGGAUAAGAUAAAGUUCUAUUGGAUCAGUCUUAAUCCCUCGAGAUGGAGGGGCCAUAAGGAUGAAAAAAUUCUCCAUCAAACAGAGUAUACUACUCUUGCCAUAAAAUCAUGAUUUAACAAAACUCGAGCUUUGAAAGGAGAUUCUUUUAAGAAAUUCAUCAAACAUUGUGUCACAAGCUUCAAGUACUAUCACUCGUAUGCUAUUAAACAUAAUUUCAUUGGAAGUGAUUUUCUGAUAAUAAAGACUCAUUUAGUACAAGGAAUAAGGAAUGACUAAUUUCAAGAUUAAUCUUAGGAUGAACUAAUCCUUGUUUGGUUGAAAUAAAAUACAUAAAAAAAUUAUUUUAAAUUAGCUAUCGAUGAUUGUAAUAUUAUUUUUCAUCCCAAAAUAACAUAUUUCUCACCAAACGAUCCUAAGAGUUAAAAGAAAUUCAACAAAAAAAAAAGGUAAGAAGACCAAAUGUAAAGGAAACAAAAUUAAAAUUCAAAUAUAAGUUUAAACCAAUAUCUUAGACCAUAUUAUAGCAAAAAGUAUAUUUACAUGUCCCGCUUAUGAAGACAGAGAACAUGCAACAAAAAAGGAACAAAAAGACCAAAAGAAAACCCAAAAUAAUUAAAUAACAUUAGCAAUAGCAAAACAGAAUAACAGAAAAAACAAAUAAAACCAAAACCAACAGGCAUUAACCUAAACAUUGUUAUAUCAAAAGUAUUAUGGGGAGACUAAAGAGAGAAAUUAACACUGGGAGGAAAGAAGAGCAGAAGAGAGAAAAGAAAGAAAGAAUAAUUCGAAAGGUUAUGAGUCACUGACAGAGAGGAAAUAGAUUGAAGAGUAGCAAUUGAAAUUACUUUCUUGAAAGUUGAAGGACAAUUGAAGAUUAUUCUGGUUAGAAUAUGUAGUUGUUUC
rnacentral:lncRNA from 1 species